UGGGGAAUCUUCCGCAAUGGACGAAAGUCUGACGGAGCAACGCCGCGUGAGUGAUGACGGCCUUCGGGUUGUAAAGCUCUGUUAAUCGGGACGAAUGGUUCUUGUGUGAAUAGUGCGAGGAUUUGACGGUACCGGAAUAGAAAGCCACGGCUAACUACGUGCCAGCAGCCGCGGUAAUACGUAGGUGGCAAGCGUUGUCCGGAAUUAUUGGGCGUAAAGCGCGCGCAGGCGGAUUGGUCAGUCUGUCUUAAAAGUUCGGGGCUUAACCCCGUGAUGGGAUGGAAACUGCCAAUCUAGAGUAUCGGAGAGGAAAGUGGAAUUCCUAGUGUAGCGGUGAAAUGCGUAGAUAUUAGGAAGAACACCAGUGGCGAAGGCGACUUUCUGGACGAAAACUGACGCUGAGGCGCGAAAGCCAGGGGAGCGAACGGGAUUAGAUACCCCGGUAGUCCUGGCCGUAAACGAUGGGUACUAGGUGUAGGAGGUAUCGACCCCUUCUGUGCCGGAGUUAACGCAAUAAGUACCCCGCCUGGGGAGUACGACCGCAAGGUU
rnacentral:rRNA from 1 species